rnacentral:rRNA from 1 species
GAUGAACGCUAGCGGCAGGCCUAAUACAUGCAAGUCGAACGGUAAGGCCCUUUCGGGGUACACGAGUGGCGGACGGGUGCGUAACGCGUAUGCAACAUGCCUUCCAGCGGGGGAUAUACCAGGGAAACUUGGCGCAAUACCCCAUAGAAUUACGGGACCGCAUGGUCUUGUGAUUAAAACUCCGGUGCUGGGAGAUUGGCAUGCGUGACAUUAGCUAGUUGGCGGGUAACGCCCACAAGGCGACGAUGUCUAGCUGGUCUGAGAGGAUGAUCAGCCACACUGGGACUGAGACACGGCCCAGACUCCUACGGGA